rnacentral:rRNA from 1 species
CAGCCGCCGCGGGAAUACGGAGGGAGCUAGCGUUGUUCGGAAUUACUGGGCGUAAAGCGCACGUAGGCGGCUUUGUAAGUUAGAGGUGAAAGCCUGGAGCUCAACUCCAGAAUUGCCUUUAAGACUGCAUCGCUUGAAUCCAGGAGAGGUGAGUGGAAUUCCGAGUGUAGAGGUGAAAUUCGUAGAUGUUCGGAAGAACACCAGUGGCGAAGGCGGCUCACUGGACUGGUAUUGACGCUGAGGUGCGAAAGCGUGGGGAGCAAACAGGAUUAGAUACCCGCGUAGUCCCUGUCUCUUAUAC